rnacentral:rRNA from 1 species
UACGGAAGGCAGCAGUGGGGAAUAUUGCACAAUGGGCGCAAGCCUGAUGCAGCCAUGCCGCGUGUAUGAAGAAGGCCUUCGGGUUGUAAAGUACUUUCAGCGGGGAGGAAGGCGAUGUGGUUAAUAACCGCGUCGAUUGACGUUACCCGCAGAAGAAGCACCGGCUAACUCCGUGCCAGCAGCCGCGGUAAUACGGAGGGUGCAAGCGUUAAUCGGAAUUACUGGGCGUAAAGCGCACGCAGGCGGUCUGUUAAGUCAGAUGUGAAAUCCCCGGGCUUAACCUGGGAACUGCAUUUUGAAACUGGCAGGCUUGAGUCUCGUAGAGGGGGUGAAUUCCAGGUGUAGCGGUGAAAUGCGUAGAGAUCUGGAGGAAUACCGGUGGCGAAGGCGGCCCCUGGGACGAAGACUGACGCUCAGGUGCGAAAGCGUGGGGAGCAAAC